rnacentral:rRNA from 1 species
GACGAACGCUGGCGGCGUGCUUAACACAUGCAAGUCGAACGGAAAGGCCCUGCUUUUGUGGGUCGCUCGAUUGCCGAAGGGGGGUGUAAAACGUGAGUAACCUCCCCUUAACUUUGGGAUAACUUUAGGAAACUGGGGCUAAAACCGGGGAGGAGCUCUUGCACCACGUGGGGGGUUGGAGAGAUUCGGCGUUUGGGGAUGGACUCGCGGCUUAUGAGCUUGUUGGUGGGGUAGGGGCUGACCAGGGCUUUGACGGGUAGCCGGCCUGAGAGGGUGACCGGCCACAUUGGGACUGCGAUACGGCCCAGACUCCUACGGGAGGCAGAAGUGGGGAAUAUUGCACAAUGGGCGGAAGCCUGAUGCAGCAACGCCGCGUGCGGGAUGACGGCCUUCGGGUUGUAAACCGCUUUCGCCUGUGACGAAGCGUGAGUGACGGUAAUGGGUAAAGAAGCACCGGCUAACUACGUG